UUACUACUGUUAGAACUUGGAGUUUAGCCUGUUGGCUGGCCAGUGAACUUACAAGUAUGGGUAGGAUACUACAUGACCUGGGAUUCUUCCUCUAUCACCACAAGGGUCUCUGGACCAAUGAGCGAAGAUUGAUAGUAAUUCUUGCUACAAGU
ensembl:snoRNA SNORA62 Small nucleolar RNA SNORA62/SNORA6 family